rnacentral:rRNA from 1 species
UACGGGGGGGGGCAAGCGUUGUUCGGAAUUACUGGGCGUAAAGGGCUCGUAGGCGGCCAACUAAGUCAGACGUGAAAUCCCUCGGCUUAACCGGGGAACUGCGUCUGAUACUGGAUGGCUUGAGUUCGGGAGAGGGAUGCGGAAUUCCAGGUGUAGCGGUGAAAUGCGUAGAUAUCAGGAGGAACACCAAUGGCGAAGGCAGCUCGCUGGGACGUGACUGACGCUGAGACGCGAAAGCGUGGGGAGCAAACAGG